CGGAGGGUGCGAGCGUUGUCCGGAAUCACUGGGCGUAAAGGGCGCGUAGGCGGCGCGGGUAGUCAACGGUGAAAGCUCAGGGCUCAACCCUGAGUCGGCCGUCGAUACUCCCGUGCUCGAGCACUGUAGAGGCAGGUGGAAUUCCGGGUGUAGCGGUGGAAUGCGUAGAGAUCCGGAAGAACACCGGUGGCGAAGGCGGCCUGCUGGGCAGUAGCUGACGCUGAUGCGCGACAGCGUGGGGAGCAAACAGGAUUAGAUACCCUGGUAGUCCACGCCGUAAACGAUGGGUACUAGGUGCUUGGGGGAGCGACCCCCUGAGUGCCGGCGCUAACGCAUUAAGUACCCCGCCUGGGGAGUACGGCCGCAAGGCUG
rnacentral:rRNA from 1 species